UUGAACCCGGAAUUCUAUUGGAAGGGCCAGAACUUCUGAACAAUGGGAGAGAGAACUUCGCUUUCAGCUGCUGAGGCACAGCCAAGUUUUUCUAUCCAUCUCAGCAUAAUCUCAGAACCACUCCAGGAAAACUGCUUAUCCUUUGGGGAAGCUGAUGAACCGAUACAGGAUAAUGAGAAGACAACACCCAGGCCUCAGUUGAAUUUCAGCUACAGGCCCAGAAAAGCAGCAAAACCAGGUGGGCAACACCAGGACCAACUGAAAUGACUGAAGACCCCUGCCCUGUCACUGACCAAUGAGCAGAGACCAUGAGCCUGAAAGACUCAUGGAGAACUGAUGCAUAUUGGAUGCACCUGGAGAACUGAUGCAUAUUGGGCUGGCUGAGACCACCCCUAAGAUUCCUGCCAGCCAGCCAGAGAUGAGAAGCUUUAAGACAAAGGGCCCAGCACACUCAAGCACGCUCUCCUUUGUGGAGUAGCCUGAGCCAUUCCUGCCUUCUUCCUGCACUUCCUUCUUCACAGGCACACGUCUCCUGAACUCUAAGGCAAUGGGCAGCGGCAACUGGUCCCAAGCUGAUCCCCUGAAACUGUCCCCUUUUCUCUGACUUCCCAGUGAGCCAUGGCAGCCCAGGCUGGGCUCCCCUAUUGCUUCUACGCUAAACUUUUUCUUGGUUCACUGCCCCCAGCUUUAAUAAA